rnacentral:rRNA from 1 species
UACGGAGGGGGCUAGCGUUGUUCGGAAUUACUGGGCGUAAAGCGCACGUAGGCGGCUUUGUAAGUUAGAGGUGAAAGCCCGGGGCUCAACUCCGGAAUUGCCUUUAAGACUGCAUCGCUAGAAUUGUGGAGAGGUAAGUGGAAUUCCGAGUGUAGAGGUGAAAUUCGUAGAUAUUCGGAAGAACACCAGUGGCGAAGGCGGCUUCCUGGACACUAACUGACGCUGAGACGCGAAAGCGUGGGGAGCAAACAGG